CUAGAGUUUCGUGGCAUUUUAGAACCUAGAGACAUUGAAGGUUUCCUCGGCUGGACUAAAUCAGAGAUAGCAGCAGCGUUGUUGGCAGCGAAGCGACCUGAUGAGUCUGAUGACGAUGGUUUCUUUGAGCAGAGCUGGUUCGCUGAGUCACCCACUGAUGACACACCAUCUCAUAUUACACAACGUCAGAACUCAAGUGAAUCAGGCACAGAUCAGACGGACUGGCAGUCAUGGCGUGCUGAGGUGGUGCGCCGCGCUGCACUGAGUGAGGGCAAAGUCGUCGAUAUACAGGCCUCCGCUGCACUACUGCUCAAACAUGUGCAACAGACACAGCACAACCAGAGCCAAGACCUCGUGCACUGUGACAGACUCCUCAGCAUCGCUAAAGAACAAACUGAUGUCUCAAAGUUGUUCUUCGCAACACUUUUCC